GAAUUUGAUGAUGAUGAUGAUGAGUAUGAUUGGGAUGAUGGUGGUAGUGAUGGAAGUUUAGAAAAUGAUGAGUCUGAGAUAUUUGAUGAAAAUCCUAGACAGAAGGAGUUCUCUGAGUCAUGCUAUCGUUCUCUGAAACAAGAUAAGGAAAAGAAUCAGAUGCCAGUUGAUCCAAGUCAUGCUGAGGUGAAAUCCAGUGGACGAGACAGAAGCAUGGACAUGCAUUCUGUUCUGAGCCCUGUGGAGAAUCUCUCACAGUGGAAAGCAAUCAAAACAAAAGUUGCAGCAUCAAGUAAGAAUAGGAGGAAGGAGAAUGUUCCAUCAAAUCAACAAACAAGCAUGUCCUUAGUCUCUGAAGCAAGCUUGAAUUUCUCACCUUGCAGCUUGGAAUCAAAUGUACUUCAGUCCAAGCCUCUGUUGCCAGAAAUGGCAGUUAACGCUAGCCUUUCAAACUGGUUGGUUUCUCCUAAUUAUCAUGUC
rnacentral:lncRNA from 1 species